GACGGUAACAGCCCGGUAGUUGAAAUGGCUUUCCCUCCAGAGUGGAUCCUGAGUACGGCGGAACACGUGAAAUUCCGUCGGAAUCCGGGAGGACCAUCUCCCAAGGCUAAAUACUCCCUAGUGACCGAUAGUGAACCAGUACCGUGAGGGAAAGGUGAAAAGCACCCCGGAAGGGGAGUGAAACAGUUCCUGAAACCGUGUGCCUACAAGUAGUUAGAGCCCGUUAAUGGGUGAUAGCGUGCCUUUUGUAGAAUGAACCGGCGAGUUACGAUUUGUUGCAAGGUUAAGCGGAAAAAGCGGAGCCGUAGCGAAAGCGAGUCUGAAUAGGGCGCAUAAGUAACAGGUCGUAGACCCGAAACCAGGUGAUCUACCCAUGUCCAGGAUGAAGGUAAGGUAAUACUUACUGGAGGUCCGAACCCACGCACGUUGAAAAGUGCGGGGAUGAGGUGUGGGUAGCGGAGAAAUUCCAAUCGAACUUGGAGAUAGCUGGUUCUCUCCGAAAUAGCUUUAGGGCUAGCCUCGAGGUAAAGAGUCAUGGAGGUAGAGCACUGUUUGGACUAGGGGCCCUUCUCGGGUUACCGAAUUCAGAUAAACUCCGAAUGCCAUGUACUUAUACUCGGGAGUCAGACUGCGAGUGAUAAGAUCCGUAGUCGAAAGGGAAACAGCCCAGACCACCAGUUAAGGUCCCCAAAUAUAUGUUAAGUGGAAAAGGAUGUGGGGUUGCUUAGACAACCAGGAUGUUGGCUUAGAAGCAGCCACCAUUGAAAGAGUGCGUAAUAGCUCACUGGUCGAGUGACCCCGCGCCGAAAAUGUACCGGGGCUAAACAUAUUACCGAAACUGUGGAUGAACCUCUUUAGAGGUUCGUGGUAGGAGAGCGUUCUAAGGGCGGUGAAGUCAGACCGGAAGGACUGGUGGAGCGCUUAGAAGUGAGAAUGCCGGUAUGAGUAGCGAAAGAAGGGUGAGAAUCCCUUCCACCGAAUAUCUAAGGUUUCCUGAGGAAGGCUCGUCCGCUCAGGGUUAGUCGGGACCUAAGCCGAGGCCGAUAGGCGU
rnacentral:rRNA from 1 species